AAAGGCGCUUUCGGGUGUCGCUGAUGGAUGGACCCGCGGUGCAUUAGCUAGUUGGUGAGGUAACGGCUCACCAAGGCCACGAUGCAUAGCCGACCUGAGAGGGUGAUCGGCCACAUUGGGACUGAGACACGGCCCAAACUCCUACGGGAGGCAGCAGUAGGGAAUCUUCGGCAAUGGACGAAAGUCUGACCGAGCAACGCCGCGUGAGUGAAGAAGGUUUUCGGAUCGUAAAACUCUGUUGUUAGAGAAGAACAAGGAUGAGAGUAACUGUUCAUCCCUUGACGGUAUCUAACCAGAAAGCCACGGCUAACUACGUGCCAGCAGCCGCGGUAAUACGUAGGUGGCAAGCGUUGUCCGGAUUUAUUGGGCGUAAAGCGAGCGCAGGCGGUUUCUUAAGUCUGAUGUGAAAGCCCCCGGCUCAA
rnacentral:rRNA from 1 species